rnacentral:misc_RNA from 1 species
GAUGAAGAACGCAGCGAAAUGCGAUACGUAAUGUGAAUUGCAGAAUUCAGUGAAUCAUCGAGCCUUUGAACGCACAUUGCGCCCCCUGGUAUUCCGGGGGGCAUGCCUGUCCGAGCGUCAUUGCUGCCCUCAAGCACGGCUUGUGUGUUGGGCCUCCGUCCUCCUCCCGGGGGACGGGCCCGAAAGGCAGCGGCGGCACCGCGUCCGGUCCUCGAGCGUAUGGGGCUUCGUCACCCGCUCUUGUAGGCCCGGCCGGCGCUUGCCGACACAUCAAUCUUUUUUCCAGGUUGACCUCGGAUCAGGUAGGGAUACCCGCUGAACUUAAGCAUAUCAAUAAGCGGAGGA